AUAUGCUCCGGGAUUUGCCUUGGUUCACUUGCAUCUGGUUCAUGCAAUAAUUUCUCCACCUUUCCCCCCUUUUCUCACUCCCAAUGAAAAGCUUGAAGUUCCUAUAUACAAUCAUUUGUUUGGCAUCGAUGGCUUUGAGUCGUGAUUCAUUUCUCGUGAACCCCAACCGAUAGAUUUUCGGUUCUUUCAAGCCAUAAUCA
rnacentral:lncRNA from 1 species